GACGAACGCUGGCGGCGUGCUUAACACAUGCAAGUCGAACGGAAACGUCCUGUUUUGGUGGGGACGGCGGGUUGACACGUGGGGAGCUACCCUUAAGUUACCUACAACUCACUGUGAGAGGUGUUAAUGACGCUGGAUCUCUUACGGCCAAAGAUUUCUUGCUUUUGGAUGGGGCCGCGUUGGUUUCGCCAGUUGGUAGGGUAAAAGCCUACCAAGGCGAUGAUCCAUAGCUGGUCUGAGAGGAUGAUCAGCAAGACUGGGACUGAGACACGGCCCAGACUCCUACGGGAGGCAGCAGUGGGGAAUAUUGGACAAUGGGCGAAAGCCUGAUCCAGCAAUGCCGCGUGAGUGAGGAAGGCCUUAGGGUUGUAAAGCUCUUUUACCCGGGAUGAUAAUGACAGUACCGGGAGAAUAAGCACCGGCUAACUCCGUG
rnacentral:rRNA from 1 species